rnacentral:sRNA from 1 species
UAUUUCGAGCCAUUUUCAAGGAACAUUCUGCAUAAAAUAGUAUAGUCUGUUUCACUAUUGAUACUAUUUCUAUGUCAGGCGCGGAUCGAAAAUUAAUCCUCAGGGGGGAUCUCUACUAAGCAUGUUGCAACAGCAGACAAAAACUAUUUUUUUGUAUUGUCACAUUUAUUUCUAGAACACAUUUUAUCCACAAAUUAAUGAAGAUAAAGUUUAAAAUCAAUAAUCCUCUAGUAUGAAAUAGACUAUAAACACGUGGCACGGUUUUUACUGCGAAACUGAAAUAAAACCACGUUGUCUAAAAUUUAAAUGACAAUAACAUUCGCAGGGGUGACUAUAACCACUCGGCCACUUAGGCAUGUUACAUGUACCAUGAACAAGUAAAUUUUAAUCAUUUUGAAAUGAUUAUUAAAAUAAUAAUUUUUAUUUGAACUCUUUAUUACGAGGAGAUACAAAAAAAAUGCUCGGGGAACGUGUCGUCUGACCGUAGAUGUCCUACGGACCGGUAGCCUGGUCACAAAAAGAUCAUUCUUUCUAAUACUGGGUCGAAUCACAAUCAUGAAUGUUACAGCAGUACUCGUGUACAAAUAUAGUAAGACAAGUUGCUGUCCUUUAAAAAAGGACUACAAUACGUGGACCAUUUGCAUGUGUUUCCAACGAAAACGUGAACGCCUUAAGAUUAUCAAGAGAUUCCACCGACUCUAGCCCUCUGCUUUUAACCACUAAGUUUGUACGUUGUAUUACGUAUACAUGUAUGUAUAGCCCCCACUUUUUCUCUUAGAAUUUAAAGGAUUCUUUCUUCUAAAAUAAUUUUGUUCUAUCUAUGAAUGAAGUUUGCAUGUAUAGUAUAAGGCAUUCGGUGAAUUCUACUAUUUGCGCACACAUUACGAUUCGCACUACUUUGUUAACUAUGCAGUGACAGCUUUGUGUACAUUAAAAAUUUCAUAUUCAU